rnacentral:rRNA from 1 species
AGAUUGUAACGCUGGCGGCAGGCUUAACACAUGCAAGUCGAACGGUAACAUAAAGAAGACUUGCUUCUUUUGUAUGACGAGUGGCGGACGGGUGGAGUAAUGGCUUGGGAAGUCUGGCUUUAUGAGGGGGAGUAACUACGGGAAACUAGUAGCUAAUACCGCGUAGAAUCGGGAGAUGAAAGUGUGGGACCUUCGGGCCACAUGCCAUAGGAUGAGCCCAAGUGGGAUUAGGUAGUUGGUGAGGUAAAGGCUCACCAAGCCGACGAUCUCUAGCUGGUCUGAGAGGAUGACCAGCCACACUGGGACUGAGACACGGCCCAGACUCCUACGGGAGGCAGCAGUGGGGGAAUAUUGCGCAAUGGGGGGCAACCCUGACGCAGCCAUGCCGCGUGAAUGAAGAAGGCCUUCGGGUUGUAAAGUUCUUUCGGUAGCGAGGAAGGCAUUUAGUUUAAUAGACUAGGUGAUUGACGUUAACUACAGAAGAAGCACCGGCUAACUCCGUG